AGCGAACGCUGGCGGCAGGCUUAACACAUGCAAGUCGAACGCUCGUAGCAAUACGGGAGUGGCAGACGGGUGAGUAACGCGUGGGAAUAUGCCUUUUGGUUCGGAAUAACGCAGGGAAACUUGGGCUAAUACCGGAUAAGCCCGUGAGGGGAAGGAUUUAUCGCCAAAAGAUUAGCCCGCGUCCGAUUAGCUAGUUGGUGAGGUAAUGGCUCACCAAGGCGACGAUCGGUAGCUGGUGUGAGAGGAUGAUCAGCCACAUUGGGACUGAGACACGGCCCAAACUCCUACGGGAGGCAGCAGUGGGGAAUAUUGGACGAUGGGCGCAAGCCUGAUCCAGCCAUGCCGCGUGAGGGAUGAAGGACUUAGGGUUGUAAAGCUCUUUUGUCCGGGAAGAUAAUGACGGUACCGGAAGAAUAAGCCCCGGCUAACUUCGUGCCAGCCGCCGCCGUAA
rnacentral:rRNA from 1 species